rnacentral:lncRNA from 1 species
CUCAACAGAGGAAUUGGAGGCUGUUCAACCUGUUAUUACUUCCGGAACUCAACCGGCAAAUCUGGUCGCAGCUGCGGAAUAUGCUAAACAGAUAUCUAAUAUUGCUCCCAGGGAAGAGAGAUCUGAAGGUGAAAGGGAUAAUAAAAGGCAACGUUCUCAUGACAGGUCAGGUCGCCGUGACGAGAAUAGUAAUCGAUCCAGAGAAGAUAGCAGGAAGAAGAAUGAUCGUGAACGGGACAGGGACCGAGAUCACGAUUUGGAUAAGCUGAAAACCCCGGAUAAACAGAAGCUAUUGGAUGCAAA